CAGUCGCCGCGGUAAUACGAAGGGGGCUAGCGUUGUUCGGAUUUACUGGGCGUAAAGGGCGCGUAGGCAGACUGAUAAGUCAGGGGUGAAAUCCCAAGGCUCAACCUUGGAACUGCCUUUGAUACUGUUUGUCUUGAGUUCGAGAGAGGUAAGUGGAACUGCGAGUGUAGAGGUGAAAUUCGUAGAUAUUCGCAAGAACACCAGUGGCGAAGGCGGCUUACUGGCUCGAAACUGACGCUGAGGCGCGAAAGCGUGGGGAGCAAACAGGAUUAGAUACCCCGGUAGUCCCUGUCUCUUAUAC
rnacentral:rRNA from 1 species